CGGCGUCUCGCCGCCGGCGCGGCUCAGGCUCUUGAGCGCCCCGCAGCCAGCUCCGGCAGAACCCGUUACUGCGGGACACCUCAGGCCUUGGCUCUUGCUUGGCCUUCAUCUGACUUCAAAGCCAGCGUCUUCGCCUCUUCGAAUCUCUUUGGCCCACCCUGGGAUCUGCUGUCUGAGGUAGAACUCUCGGCCCCACGUCCGUCUGUGUGCCGCCGUGCUUCCUGUCACAAUGACGGACUCAAUCUCUGAAACCGUGAGUCAGCCUCAAUUAAAAGGUUUCCUUCGUAACAGUUGUCGUGGUCGGGCUGGAGAGAUGGCUCAGCAGUUAAGAGCAUUGGCUGCUCUUCCCGAGGACCCUGGUUCAAUUCCCAGCACCCACACGGCAGCUCACAACCGUCUGGUGUGUAACUCAAAUUCCGGCGGGUCCGACUCCCUCAAGCAGACAUAUAUGUAUGUCAAAGUGUACAUAAAAAUAAAUCUAAAGUAAGA